rnacentral:misc_RNA from 1 species
GACACAUUAGGAGAAAGGCUCUAUGAGGGGUGCGAUCAGGCAUACAUUUUGAAAUUUGACAGCAAUACAAUCAUUCGCAAAUUGCCUAAUGUUGCUCAGCCAUCAGAUGAGAAAACAAUGGGUGAUCAGCCUAUUGUGGCAGUUGCUGGGGAACCCAAUAACCAACAGGUGAACUCAAAGGAGGAGGCCUCUGUAUCAGGAGCAGUAGUAAUCAAGCCUGAGGAACCAAUGAAUAGCGAGGAGGAAGGGGAGGUGAUUUGCCAAGGAAAGGACUCUUGCAAGGAGUAUAUAAAGAGCUUUUUGGCUGCAAUUCCAAUACGGGAAUUGCAGGCAGAUAUUAAGAAAGGUAUAAUUUCUUCAGCACCUCUUCAUCACCGUUUGCAGAUUGAGUUCCACUACACCCAACACUUACAAGGAUUACCGGAAACUCAUGCAGCAGCAGCAGUAGCAGUAGCAGCAGUGACGAUAGCACCAGCAGAAUCGGUUGAUGUUGCAGUAAUAGAGGUUACUGCAUAGACAGUUGCUGUAAAUUUUAGGAAGUGUGAUUAG